rnacentral:miRNA from 1 species
CCUGUGCAGUAACAGGUGUGAGCAUUCUUGCAGCAUUUUGAUGGUCAUGUAUGAUACUGCAUAC